AUCAAUCAUGAAUCAUCGAAAUUUCUAUUAAAUUGUCAUAUAAUCCUCAUACGACAUAGGAGGAACGGGGAAAGGUGAGGAAAAGGGCCAACAAGGGGAAAACAGAAGGAAGUAGGUAACAUGUUCCCUGUCUUUGUUUCUAUCUCAUCAUAUCACAUUUUGUUCUGCGAGAUUUGAAAAUUAUCGUCAAUACCUCGGUGUAGGUCUGGCUCGCUACAGGAGAAGGAAUGAGGUAGAGGUAAAGAGGAGCAAGGAAAAUACAAGAACCUUGGACUUUUUAUAUUUAAGUUACGAGUCAUGAAUUGCACAAAAAUAUUUAUUCUUUAUAUUUGCAACAGCUAAACAAAAUAACAAAUAUUGAUAACGUAGAAUGUAAAAAUCAUAAUAAUAACCUUGAUGCUAGUGUUGGAGCAACAGAAGUGAUGCGAUAGUUGAAGUUCUUCUGUGGCGGGUGUUUCUUGAUUCUUUGCCCAUUCUUCAUCUAAAAGGAAGAAUGAGGCUUUUUUGCUUGGUGAGGAGGGCCAAUAGCAUGCGUGUAAACUCUUGAGCUCCUUAUUUCUUUAUCUCAAAGAAAGUUCAUUUCCUUCGGGAUCUGAAACCAUAUUUAAACAUUGAUCUGGCUAUUUAGGUGUGAGUAAUAUAUCUGUUGCCUUUUUAUAGGUCUACGAGGAUAGGAAUGUAGUUAUUCAGCUUGUAAGGAGGCUCGAAAGUCAGGUUUCAAAGCCGAGUUUUGCUACAAGUCACACUCUGAUGUUCACUCUCCUCACAUGAUGGGGGUUUCACGAUUUUUUUAUUGGACGUGGGUCCCCAUGUGAGUAAAGUGUACACCAAUAUUAAUCUCGGUGUACAAAUAGCAUUUUUCUUCAAGGCCAUAGCACUUUCAGUGUGUACACGCCAAGGUUGGGAUGCAAGGUACAAAAUUGAUUAGAAUGUUAUUACAGGAGUAAGAGCCAUGAGGUAGAGUUGCCCUUCAACGUUGUAAUAUUGUAUGUUAGAGUUUUAUCUGCUGAUUCGUCCUGCUAUAGAUUUACUUUGCCACCAUUUUUUGGCAUUGAAGAAUUUCGAAGGUCUGGACCUCAGGCAAAAAUGGACGAAGUGCCAACAAUAAGACGCUGCUGAUGAAAUUUCAUUGUAGGUUUCAGAAUGAUGACUCUGGAUUGGCUUGCAUAUUUUGAAUUCUUCUUUUAAGUCUUUCGAGUAAUCCAUAAAGUUCACUUGUUGCACCAAAGCACUUGAUUCUAUUUUCUUCUUUAUCAUUUUUUCUAGGGUUUAAAAUUCACUGAAACUCUUUGCUUUAUAUUUGCUAUUAACUUUUUACAACUUUACCUUUGCCUUUACAUAGGA
rnacentral:lncRNA from 1 species